UACGUAGGGGGCUAGCAUUGUCCGGAAUCAUUGGGCGUAAAGAGCGUGUAGGCGGUCCGGUAAGUCCGCUGUGAAAGUCGGGGGCUCAACCCUCGAAUGCCGGUGGAUACUGUCGGGCUAGAGUGCGGAAGAGGCGAGUGGAAUUCCUGGUGUAGCGGUGAAAUGCGCAGAUAUCAGGAGGAACACCUAUUGCGAAGGCAGCUCGCUGGGACGUAACUGACGCUGAGACGCGAAAGCGUGGGGAGUAAACAGG
rnacentral:rRNA from 1 species